CCCUGGCUGUGCAUCUCUUGGUUGAAUUUUUUCUUCUAAGAAAACAAGAACAGCAGUUCUUGCAGUACAAUUCCAGUACUUUCUGGUAACAAGAGGGCUCAUUUCUUGUCAACUCUUCUUGUUCCUGAGGUCAAGGCAGGUACUGAUGCCAAAUACUGAGGACAGAGGGAGGAUCAUGAAGAGAACACUGAAUGGCCUACAGCAACCUACAGAAAGCCUGCCUUGUGAUGGAACGAACACAAACUCUUUAUUCGGAAGGCAGGACAGUGCCUCUGAUCAACAGCUUAACAUCUCUAAGGAGACUACCUGCUGCCUGAGCCCUGCCCUCAAGUCUGUGACAUAACAUGGCCUCCUACUGCUGACACAGUAAAAUGGAAUGAUCCAUCUGUAAAACAUCCAUGAGGAAAAAAGGAAAGGAUAAAUUUCAAGUUUUAAUUUUUAUCUAAUAAUUUUGGCUUGGCAAAUAAACUCAUAGUCAGGCUCGAUCAACCAGCCUGAAACUUGAA